GGGCGCCAACGUUUGAACGGGAUUCAUUCCCCGCAGCCGCCUUACUGCUGACCCGGUGAGGACGUUAUUCGUUAGCAGGGGGUGAGCAGAGGUCAAGGCUUGUCUAUCAGCCAGAACCCAGACAUUCCUCCGCGGCAACAGGCUGAGGAUCAGAAUGGAAAGAAAGCAGCUACUGAUAUUUCUGUGAUGUCGACGGAUGAAUCUGAACACGAGCAGCUGGAACUCAAAGAACAAUCAAGUUACAGUGUUUCCUGAUGUCCAGGGAUCUGUCCGUCCAUCUGCCCCUCCAUCCAUCCAUCUCCUAACCACUUAUCCUAGUCAGAGUCGCAGGGGCGUCUAGAGAUAAGUCUGAAAGCCGUAAAUACUCACAAACACCCA